AUACGGAGGAUCCGAGCGUUAUCCGGAUUUAUUGGGUUUAAAGGGUGCGCAGGCGGCCAUUUAAGUCAGCGGUUAAAUCGUGGGGCUCAACCCCAUUCUGCCGUUGAUACUGGGUGGCUUGAUUGCGGUCGAGGUUGGCGGAAUUCGUUGUGUAGCGGUGAGAUGCAUAGAUAUGACGAAGGACACCGAUUGCGUAGGCAGCUCACUAGACCGCGAAGUACGCUCAUGCACGAAAGUUCGAGGAUCUAACAGGAUUAGCUCCCCUGGUAGGCCGCAGCGGAAACGAUGAAUACUUGUUUUCGGCGAUAUAAUGUCGGAGGCAUAGCGAAAGUGAUAAGGAUUCCCGCUCGCGAGUACGGCGUCAACGCGGAAGCUCAAAGGAGUGGACGGGG
rnacentral:rRNA from 1 species